GCUAACUACUGGCCUGCCGCGUGGGGAAUACGGAGGGGGCGGGCGUUAAUCGGAAUUCCUUGGCGUAAAGUGUGCGCAGGCGGCCGAGCAAGUCGAGUGUUAAAGCCCCGGGCUUAACGUGGGAAUUGCGCUCGAAACUACUUGGCUGGAGUGUGGCAGAGGAAGGUGGAAUUCCACGUGUAGCGGUGAAAUGCGUAGAGAUGUGGAGGAACACCAAUGGCGAAGGCAGCCUUCUGGGCCAACACUGACGCUCAUGCACGAAAGCGUGGGGAGCAAACAGGAUUAGAUACUCUGGUAGUC
rnacentral:rRNA from 1 species